CUUGGUGCCCUCGUUAAUAUGGAACCACUUCAACCCAUAUCGAACUUGAUAGUGAAACAUAUUGAAAGCAAAAAUACUUGUGGGGUUGCCCGCCGGAAAAAUAGUUUGGUGCCAGGA
rnacentral:rRNA from 1 species